rnacentral:tRNA from 1 species
CGCGGAGUAGUGUAGCGGUUACACAUCAGGUUCAUACCCUGAUUUACGCCGGUUCGAAUCCGGCCUCCGCAACCA